UCUCUCUCUCUCUUUAUGUGCCUGUGAUUUGUAUAAAACGUUCUCGUGUCGAAACGUGGGUUGUCGCGUCCUCUUGAUCCUUGGUCGUGGCUUGUAUCAGGAAUGCUAGGCGGUGCGUUCCGGGGUAGCGCAUUGGGCAGGCUGUGCAGGAGCUGAGGUUGAGGUUCUUGCUGCAUUGGUUCCUGCCUUCCUGCCAUGGGUAGAGCUAAAUCACCUGGUAGAUGGAUCAAGACAUUGCUAUUUGGGAAAAAAACAUCAAAACACAAUGUUAAGGGAAGAGAGAAAAUUACAAAUGACGCAGUGGUCCAGGUUGGUGCUAGGGCACCUGAAGCUAAUUAUCACGUGGCUUCUCAGCCUAUUGCUGAAAGUGAUGAUUGGAAUAGCAGAAAACAAGAAUCAGAGAGAAAGAAUGAGGAAGUUCUACUCCAAGAUCGAGGGAUUGAGACUGAUGAGGAUCUGGACAUGGCUCAAACUCAGGAUGCACCUCAAAAUCCAGAUAUAAUCAGGCAAGAGAUGGCAGCAACAAAGACGCAAGCUGCUUUCAGGGGUUAUUUGGCUCGUCGUGCAUUUCGAGCUCUCAAGGGAAUCAUUCGGUUACAAGCACUUAUCCGUGGGCAUUUGGUUCGGAGACAGGCAGUUGCUACUUUGUCCUGCAUGCUGGGAAUAGUUAAAUUGCAGGCACUUGUUCGAGGGAGAAACGUCAGGCAAUCUACCACUGGGCUUGAAGUACACAAGUUACUAAUAUCUCAGGGCAUGUCAGGGGAUUCUGCCAAAGUUGAUUUAAGUACUCAGCUUGCCAAUGUUUCAGUAAAUGAUUUCAUUCGAAAGCUUGUUGCUUCAUCACCAACUGUCAUGCCUCUGCACCUCAAUUAUGAUUCUGCGGAGCCAAAUUCAGUUUCGAGUUGGUUAGCAUGCUGGUCAGCAUCCGUUUUCUGGAAACCAGUUUCCCAACCGAGCAAAAUCUCCAAAUCACAGAGAAAGCAGGGUUACUCACAAAAUUCAGAAACUGAAACUCGUAGGAUGAAGCGUGGUGUCCAGAAAACUCCUGCUUCCAAUGUUGACAUUAUUUCAGCGCGCACAACCACAGAGACGCCUAAACGCAAUGUAAGGAAGGUGUCUGGCCAUUCUUUGGAUCCUUCACAGGAUAGUCCACAGAAUGAGAUCCAAAAGGUCAAACGUAGUUUGAGAAAGGUCCACAAUCCUAUUGUAGAGAAUGCUGUGAUCCAGUCUGAAAUUGAAAGUGUAGAGCCCAAGGACAGUUUGGAAAGGCCAUCCAUCAUUAGGGGAGUUGAUGUUUUUGAGCAGAACAAUAAAACUUCUGAUGAGAAAAUGGAGAGUGAGACAAUAUUGACCUCAUCAAAUUUGCCUGAUGCAGAAAAGAUUCAGGAGCCACUGGAAAUAGAUGACAGAGCUGAUAUUCCUUUUGAUGGUCAAGUAGUAUUUGACUCAAAUGCUUCAGUGAAGAACCAUGUUGAAGAUGACAGUGGUCCUGUAACAAAUGGGCAUCAGGAAUCCAAAAAUCAAGAAGUCGAGAUCCAGAGGGAUGAUUCAGUGAGCGAUGAGAAACGUAGAUCAGGCCGUAAAUCUUCCACACCCUCAAAGCAAGAAUAUGAGGAGAAUGGCUCACGGAGCAGUCCGGCACUUCCAAGUUAUAUGGCAGCAACUAAAUCUGCAAAGGCCAAACUGAGAGCGCAAGGUUCUCCGAGGUUUGGACAGGAUGGGGCAGAAAAGAGUAAUCUGUCGAGACGUCACUCUCUUACCUUCCCCAGUCAACAGCAAAAUCAACUCUCAGUCACCAAGAACCCAGAAACCUGAUCAGGGAAGUGGCAAAGGUGGGAAUAAAAGUGACAGAUCAUCAAGAGAUUCGAAUGGGAAGGCUGAGUGGAGAAGGUGACUUUCAGAAACACUAUGGUUCAAGUCUAAUUCGAGAAACAUUGUGUGCAGAUUUCGGUAGAAGAAUUAGUUUUGAAGCUUAAUUCGUGGUGUCUGUUUUGCUGGUUCUCUAGACUUUGAGUUGGAUUUGUUAGUGCAGGUAACAUCAUGAUUUUUGGAGUCUCAAAAUAGUGUUGAACUCAUUAUUGGUCAGUACUAUCGUACCAUACAUGCAUAUUUGUAUAGUUGUGCAUCUGUUUAGCUACCUCUGUUGGUCCGCUGAUGUUAGGCAUCGUGAACAUUUUCAUCUGUAACGUGUGGCACCGAUUGAUGAUUAAUUCUGCUGAUGUUUCUGGUGUGCUUGGAUUAUUCAAAA